AGAAUAAGGCCGGAUAGUUCACAAUGCCUGGAACGGUUUGUGGAUAAAGGUAGGAUGGGUCUGCGGCGUAUCAGGUUGUAGGGGGUGUAACGGACCCCCUAGCCAUCGACGCGUACGGGUGUUGGGAGACAUAGCCCGGAGAUGGAUUCUGAGACACGAAUCCAGACCCUACGGGGUGCAGCAGGCGCGAAAACUUCACACUGCAGGAAACUGUGAUGAGGGAACUCCAAGUGUGUGCAUUUUAUGUACACUUUUCUGAACUCUUAAUCGGUUCAGGAAUAAGGGCUGGGAAAGACCGGUGCCAGCCGCCGCGGUAAUACCGGCAGCUCAAGUGGUCGUCGCUUUUAUUGGGCCUAAAACGUCCGUAGCCUGUUUGGUAAAUCUGUGGGUAAAUCAACCAGCUUAACUGGUUGAAUUCUGCAGAGACUGCCAGACUAGGGACCGGGAGAGGUGUGGGGUACUCGAGGGGUAGGGGUAAAAUCCUGUCAUCCUUCGAGGACCACCAGUUGCGAAGGCGCCACACUGGAACGGAUCCGACGGUCAGGGACGAAGCCUAGGGGCACGAACCGGAUUAGAUACCCGGGUAGUCCUAGGUGUAAACGCUGUGAACUUGGUGUCGGGGGUCCGCAAGGGGUCCCCGGUGCCGGAGUGAAGAUGUUAAGUUCACUGCCUGGGGAGUACGGUCGCAAGGCUGAAACUUAAAGGAAUUGGCGGGGGAGCACUGCAACGGGAGGAGCGUGCGGUUUAAUUGGACUCAACGCCGGGA
rnacentral:rRNA from 1 species